GACCUCAGAUCGGGUGGGACUACCCGCUGAACUUAAGCAUAUCAAUAAGCGGAGGAAAAGAAACUAACAAGGAUUCCCCUAGUAACGGCGAGUGAAGAGGGAAAAGCUCAAAUUUUGAAUCUGGUGUCUUUGGCGCCCGAGUUGUAAUCUAGAGAAGUGUUUUCUGCCUCGGACCACACAUAAAUUCCCUGGAAUGGGGUGUCAUAGAGGGUGAGAAUCCCGUUUGUGGUGUGGACUACCUUGGCUCUGUGAUACACUCUCAACGAGUCGAGUUGUUUGGGAAUGCAGCUCAAAAUGGGUGGUAAAUUCCAUCUAAAGCUAAAUACUGGCGAGAGACCGAUAGCGAACAAGUACCGUGAGGGAAAGAUGAAAAGCACUUUGGAAAGAGAGUGAAACAGUACGUGAAAUUGUUGAAAGGGAAGCGUUUGAAGUCAG
rnacentral:rRNA from 1 species